rnacentral:lncRNA from 1 species
CACCUUCCUCUGCUUCGUGGCCUCGAAUGCCCACGAGGCCUACGCAGCGCUGGCCGGGCUGGAGAUGGGCAUCACCCUCCUGUUCCUCCUGCUCUACCUGCUCAAGCUCGACGCAAAGAUGCGGUGGCUGUUCUGGCCGCUGGCUGAUAUUUUCAACUCGGUGAUUGCAGCGUUGUUCCUCCUCGUUGUGUGCUUGUUUGCAGUAAUAGUCAAGAGCAACAAGGGGACAUUGGCUGGAGGAGUGUUGGGUCUUAUAUUGCUUGUUCUCUGCGUUGUCGACACGGUUCUUCUUUGCAAGAAGAUUAGCCUUGCUAGACCAAGAGGAAGGAAUGCUCCUACCAGAUAAGACUGCCGUGUUAGUAAAAGGAUUUCUCCAUUGAUGAUUGUUUCACCACUCUCUUUUAAAGAAUUUGUGUUUUCACAUGUUCACCUUAGAAUUUCCUGUGCAUUGAUGUAUGUUUUUGCAAGUAUUGUUUAUACGGUUUUCAGACAUUUCCAAAUGUAGUUUCAGUGGUGCAGUUAAAGCUUCAUAGAAAAUGGUCUUGUUUUUCUGAACUUAAUUACAUUUUUACUCAUAUGAAAAUGAACUUCAUGGUUGUCUUCUUUCUGUAAUAAAAAGAAAAUAUAAACGGGCUUAAGUGCA